rnacentral:misc_RNA from 1 species
GGUUCUCCUGAUCCUUCUUUUCAGGUGGCUGCUAUGACAAGAAAGGAGAAGGUGGAGAAGUUAUUCCAUCCGUCAGGAGUUAAGAUUGAAAAUAAACGUGAUUUUGAAGGGGUUGGCAUAAGAGCUCCCACAGAAUUAGGAUCCUCAGUUGUACAGGAGUGUUCUUCUAUAAAUUCUGGCUUGGAUGAAAUUUCAGAAGAAGCAGCUAGUUUUCAUCAGCUUCAACGUGUCAUGGAACAGUUGGAUAUAAGGACGAAGCUAUGUAUAAGAGAUAGCUUGUACCGGUUGGCUCGGAGUGCUGAACAAAGGCAUAGACAUGCUAAUCUCAAUAUUGUCUCUGGAGAUGAUGGAGGUACCAGCGGACCACUGGUUACCGAAGGAACAAACAAGUGCACAGGAUAUGUGGACAUUGAGACAGACACAAAUCCCAUAGAUCGAUCUAUUGCUCAUUUGCUAUUCCACAGGCCUUCGGAUUCUGCUGUUGCCCCUGCCCGCGAUUCCUCGACUUUGAAGUCGCCUUCCAUGAUUCACGGGUCGUUGUCUAGCACACCAGUGAUGAGUGAUAACGUGAUCUCUCAUGGAGAAAUUGCACCUCAAACAGAUGGAGAAGUUGCUGAUUGACCAUAACUAUUUAAGAAGUCAAUUCCAGUUUGUGGGGGGAAUUUCACAUGCAGAAAUGAUCAAAGAUCAUACAAGGAACCUUUAUGUUUUGAAUGUUUUCUCUGGAACUGGUUUCUGGUCCAUGUGAGAACAUAUCCUUGUAUGAGCUUUCACAAUCAAAUUAUAUUUGUUUCACUCUAACCCUUCCUCAGUCGGAAGGCAUACACAAACUACCUUUCCUGUGUAUACGUAGAUCAAACCAACUGACUCUUUUUUUGUUGUUUGUAAGUAGAUAAUACCUGGAAAUUUUCCAGAAGAUACUUGCAAGUCUUGUAGUAGCUCAUGACCU